GUGACUGAGUGGCGGACGGGUGAGUAACGCGUGGGUAACCUGCCUUGUACAGGGGGAUAACAGUUGGAAACGACUGCUAAUACCGCAUAAGCCCACGACCCGGCAUCGGGUUGAGGGAAAAGGAGCAAUCCGCUUUGAGAUGGCCUCACGUCCGAUUAGCUAGUUGGUGGGGUAACGGCCCACCAAGGCGACGAUCGGUAGCCGGACUGAGAGGUUGAACGGCCACAUUGGGACUGAGACACGGCCCAGACUCCUACGGGAGGCAGCAGUGGGGAAUAUUGCACAAUGGGGGAAACCCUGAUGCAGCGACGCCGCGUGGAGGAAGAAGGUCUUCGGAUUGUAAACUCCUGUUGUUGAGGAAGAUAAUGACGGUACUCAACAAGGAAGUGACGGCUAACUACGUG
rnacentral:rRNA from 1 species